GACCCAAUGGCAUAGUGGUUAAUGUACCUGCUUAGACUAGCUUGUGAGCAGUUGAAUAAGCAGGAGGCCCUCGUUCGAACCGGGGUUGGGUCA